CGGCGGACGGGUGAGUAACACGUGGAUAACCUACCUAUAAAGACUGGGAUAACUUCGGGAAACCGGAGCUAAUACCGGAUAAUAUAUUGAACCGCAUGGUUAAAUAGUGAAAGACGGUUUUGCUGUCACUUAUAGAUGGAUCCGCGCCGCAUUAGCUAGUUGGUAAGGUAACGGCUUACCAAGGCAACGAUGCGUAGCCGACCUGAGAGGGUGAUCGGCCACACUGGAACUGAGACACGGUCCAGACUCCUACGGGAGGCAGCAGUG
rnacentral:rRNA from 1 species